rnacentral:rRNA from 1 species
UACGUAGGGGGCUAGCGUUGUCCGGAAUCAUUGGGCGUAAAGCGCGUGUAGGCGGUCCGGUAAGUCCGCUGUGAAAGUCCGGGGCUCAACCCCGGGAGGCGGGUGGAUACUGUCGGGCUAGAGUCCGGAAGAGGCGAGUGGAAUUCCUGGUGUAGCGGUGAAAUGCGCAGAUAUCAGGAGGAACACCAAUUGCGAAGGCAGCUCGCUGGGACGGUACUGACGCUGAGACGCGAAAGCGUGGGGAGCGAACAGG